rnacentral:misc_RNA from 1 species
AUUAUGUAUGUUGAACGACUCAUCUGAAGGCAGAGAAAAUCAUAAAUGAAUGAGUGCCAAGACACGUUGCGAUAUUUCCUCAAAGUUAUUUGUUAUGUAUGCUUUCUAGAACCGAUUGUAAGCUUAUGAAAUAACAAGACCAUUCCCAAAAAUGCAAAAGCAACAUAAAUAUCAUGAAGUUAUAGAAAAGGGAGAUUGUCAACAGAUUACUUGGAUUCAAGAAAUAAGAGAUGAAAUAAAUAAACUUGGCUUUUCAAAUUGGGUAUUAUAAAUUAUUUCUUUCCAUGUCAUUUUAGGUCUCACCAUUUUGCUCCUUACUCUUUCCAUCACUAAUUUAUCAUUUUCGCAUAGGAGCAUUUGCUUUAUGGUCAUAAUAAUAUUACUAAAACAUGGAUAAAUAUCCUAAUGGUAAUUUAACUUAUCACUGCAUUUCAUUUUAUUAAACAACUUUAAUUUUUCAUAAUUAGGCCUAUUUUCUUUUCAAUUUUGAUGCUUCACUAAACUUAUUGCCCUCAUUAUUAUGAGAAGUUCAAUGACAAUUAACAAAUACAUAUGUUAUUUUGAUUGCCUUUAGAAUUUUACCUUUUUUUUUAUUCCUACACCCUACAUGAAGCAUAGAACCAUUGAAAUCUGAUGUAGUAAUUAUUAGAACCUUUUUCCAUAACAAUUUUUUUUUUUCAAUCAUAUGAUGUAGGAUCAUCUAAUGAGUUGUGCUAUUUGAUCAAGGACAUAAAUUUAUAUAUUAUCAUAAAGAUGCUAUUUAUUAGGUGUUAAGUGUUUGUAAAACUAUUUGAAAAGUUGAUUAGCAAUGACUUAAGAUUUUAUAACUUGUUUCAUCGAUCGCAUACAUUUUAUUUUUAAUCAGUUUUUGUAAGUAAAUUGUCAAAAAACCACUCAACAUAAAAACUCAAACUUAUAGAUAAGGGCUCCAAG